rnacentral:rRNA from 1 species
AUGUCGUAUGACUCGUAUCCUGCCGCCGCCGCCGCCGGCUGCCCUCCCUCCUUCGCGUGGGAGGGGCCGCGGUCUCCCGUGCCUGCCGAUCCUUUCGCGCCGGAGUACUUCGACGUGCUCGCCGGGUACUACGUCGAGGCCGCCCGCCGCCUCCCCAUCGCGCAGAUCCCCUACCUCGCCUGCUGCAUCAAAGAUCGCGGCCUCGCCGUCCGCCUCGCCGACCCCGUCACCAACAUCCUCCUCACCACCAUCGACGCCUUCGCCCACGGCAAGCCCUACAUGAUCCGUCAGGUGGACCACGCAACGAUAGAGCAAACCAGGAACAAGACCACCUUCGCCGACGGCGCUCGCACCUCCUGGAUGGCUCUAAGCUGGUUCAUGGUCACCUAUUUUCGGCACCUCACCGGGCCUCUAGCCGACCUUAUACUCCACAAAGCCGGCUAUGACCUCCGUGUUGCCAUCCAAACCGUUCAGGUCCAUGUUGGUGGCGACCCUAAUUGUCCCGAGCUGCUCGUCCCGGAUUCUACUAGGACCAAGACAGCACUUGCGGCGGCGACUUACCCACGGUGUGCUGCGCCCCAAUUCUUGCGUCUAAUGACAUCGAGUUACCAUCGUUUCCUGGUCGAGCCUGUCCUAGAAGAUCUGCGCCGAGAGGGGGAGCUUACCGCCGACUGCGUCUACAAGGUCUGUGAAAUGCUGCGCCAUCCAUGGUCGCCGCCGCCGUCAUGGCCCCCUCCUCCUACUCCCGGUAUUUUUCGGGACCAUCGGAGAGGUGAUUUCGCCACAACUCACAUCUCAAAGGAUCGUGUCGCCACAACCACUUUCACCUCAUCUCGUCCCAUUUAUGCCGAUCUCUCAGAAAACGCAACCAACCUGUUAAACAUGUUCCCUAUCCACCAUGGGAAACUAAUGAGCCAUAGAGAGCCCUGCUCGGAGACCUUGGAGAGCCCUGAUUUCCUGCCGUUUCUCAAGUUACAACUCCUUGAUAUCAUCCAUGGGGUUUAUCUCAAGGCUAUUGCUAUGCUACCGGUUCAUGCUCUACGUGACGGCCACCUGCUCCACUCGCUGGUAACAGCCGGUCACUGCUAUGGACCGUUGGAUCCUGUGUCCAAUAUUGUCAUCAACACAAUCUGGUAUGAUGCUGUCUUCCCGCUCUCCAAGGAUGUCACAUUCAAGGUUGGCGAAGCGGAUAUUCUCGACACCGACUCCAUGCACCGUGUUGAAUCCCGUUCAAUCGACGGCCUGGUUUCCUACCUCUGCAGAUCCCCCUCAACAAAUGAGCGAGAUGCCGUGACACUGCUCUGCAGAAAUCGCUUGGACCUACCAAUAUUGGACCUAUCCAAUAUGUGUGAUGUGGCACUGGCCGCGAAACACCCCCAGCCUGCUGCCUUUGGGGCAUUCCUCGAACGCGUGUCCAUUCGACAAUUAUACGACAUGUACUGCCUUUCUAGGGCCCAUGGAAAUCCAGAUUCUGCUUUUGAGGGGCUCAAGAUGGCUCUACUCCAGGAAACAACCCGUGUUGCAGCACCAGUGCAACGACGAUGUGCUCAUGAUAUGGACAAAUCAACUGCUUUCGAGCGAUUAAACAGCAUGCCAAGCCAAAAAACAGCAUUGGCAUCACUGUCCGAAAAGAGGCUUUCAUUCAGGUCUCGGCAAGCUAAUUUUCGCAGAGUGUUGGAACUUGUAUUGAUUGAAUAUGGCUACAGUGAUCCCCUGGGACCACUAUACAAGCUCGGUGUCAUCUGUGGAGUGACGAGAAAAAGAAACUAUAGCCACACGGAUGUUUACCAUGCCAAUUUUGUGGCUAGCUCAGAUGGUGGAUCAUCAUGGAAGUUGUUCUUCGCUGAAUUCUGGAACCUACCAGAUGAGAGACUUGAAGAAUCAAAAAAGCCUUUCUGUUGUCCCAUACCGGAUUACCACGAAUAUCCCGGUCGCUGUGUUGUUUGCGAGUAUGAUUCGAGUAUCAUCUUGCAUCCACAAUCGCGAAAGUAUUACAUGGGCAACUCCACACUUGCAUUUCCGGCACCCGGCCACCGCGGGGGUGAUAGAACGGUACUCAUGAUGGUGGGUGGCCUCGCCGGUGACGUCCACCUAGAACCUGAUCAGCCCGGUAGCAGCUGCUUGUGUUGCCCCCAUCUUUUACAAUGUGCAGGCUACAGCAAGAGGGGAGGAGGGAAUGGCUCUGUUCUUCGUGUGCUGCAACCUCUCCUGCGGCAACCGGUGGAGGGAAUGAACGAUCUGCAUCUCCUGCAGUCUGCAGAGGCUACCGAUGCUCUUAAGGCCCUAACUGGAUAUGCUCUGGAAUUUAGUUUCUGCUAG